ACGGGAGGCAGCAGUGGGGAAUAUUGGGCAAUGGGCGAAAGCCUGACCCAGCAACGCCGCGUGAAGGAAGAAGGUCUUCGGAUUGUAAACUUCUUUUAUGAGGGACGAAGGACGUGACGGUACCUCAUGAAUAAGCCACGGCUAACUACGUGCCAGCAGCCGCGGUAAUACGUAGGUGGCAAGCGUUAUCCGGAUUUACUGGGUGUAAAGGGCGCGUAGGCGGGGAUGCAAGUCAGAUGUGAAAUCCAUGGGCUUAACUCAUGAACUGCAUUUGAAACUGUAUCUCUUGAGUGCUGGAGAGGUAGAUGGAAUUCCUUGUGUAGCGGUGAAAUGCGUAGAUAUAAGGAGGAACACCGGUGGCGAAAGCGGCUCUCUGGUCUGUAACUGACGCUGAGGCUCGAAAGCGUGGGGAGCAAACAGGAUUAGAUACCCUGGUA
rnacentral:rRNA from 1 species